rnacentral:rRNA from 1 species
AUUGAACGCUGGCGGCAGGCCUAACACAUGCAAGUCGAACGGCAGCACAGAAGAGCUUGCUCUUUGGGUGGCGAGUGGCGGACGGGUGAGUAAUGUCUGGGAAACUGCCCGAUGGAGGGGGAUAACUACUGGAAACGGUAGCUAAUACCGCAUAACGUCGCAAGACCAAAGUGGGGGACCUUCGGGCCUCACACCAUCGGAUGUGCCCAGAUGGGAUUAGCUAGUAGGUGGGGUAAUGGCUCACCUAGGCGACGAUCCCUAGCUGGUCUGAGAGGAUGACCAGCCACACUGGAACUGAGACACGGUCCAGACUCCUACGGGAGGCAGCAGUGGGGAAUAUUGCACAAUGGGCGCAAGCCUGAUGCAGCCAUGCCGCGCGUAUGAAGAAGGCCUUCGGGUUGUAAAGUACUUUCAGCGGGGAGGAAGGCGGUGAGGUUAAUAACCUUGCCGAUUGACGUUACCCGCAGAAGAAGCACCGGCUAACUCCGUGCCAGCCGCCGCGGUAA